rnacentral:rRNA from 1 species
GACGAACGCUGGCGGCGUGCUUAACACAUGCAAGUCGAACGGAAAGGCCCUGCUUUUGUGGGGUGCUCGAGUGGCGAACGGGUGAGUAACACGUGAGUAACCUGCCCUUGACUUUGGGAUAACUUCAGGAAACUGGGGCUAAUACCGGAUAGGAGCUCCUGCUGCAUGGUGGGGGUUGGAAAGUUUCGGCGGUUGGGGAUGGACUCGCGGCUUAUCAGCUUGUUGGUGGGGUAGUGGCUUACCAAGGCUUUGACGGGUAGCCGGCCUGAGAGGGUGACCGGCCACAUUGGGACUGAGAUACGGCCCAGACUCCUACGGGAGGCAGCAGUGGGGAAUAUUGCACAAUGGGCGGAAGCCUGAUGCAGCAACACCGCGUGCGGGAUGACGGCCUUCGGGUUGUAAACCGCUUUCGCCUGUGACGAAGCGUGAGUGACGGUAAUGGGUAAAGAAGCACCAGCUAACUACGUG